rnacentral:rRNA from 1 species
GGCGGCGUGCUUAACACAUGCAAGUCGAACGGUGAAGGAAAGCUUGCUUUCUGGAUCAGUGGCGAACGGGUGAGUAACACGUGAGCAAUCUGCCCCUGACUCUGGGAUAACAGUUGGAAACAGCUGCUAAUACCGGAUAUGAGCUGCGACCGCAUGGUCGGCAGUUGGAAAGAAUUUCGGUCAGGGAUGAGCUCGCGGCCUAUCAGCUUGUUGGUGAGGUAAUGGCUCACCAAGGCGUCGACGGGUAGCCGGCCUGAGAGGGUGACCGGCCACACUGGGACUGAGACACGGCCCAGACUCCUACGGGAGGCAGCAGUGGGGAAUAUUGCACAAUGGGCGCAAGCCUGAUGCAGCAACGCCGCGUGAGGGACGACGGCCUUCGGGUUNUAAACCUCUUUUAGCAGGGAAGAAGCGAAAGUGACGGUACCUGCAGAAAAAGCACCGGCUAACUACGUGCCAGCAGCCGCGGUAAUACGUAGGGUGCAAGCGUUAUCCGGAAUUAUUGGGCGUAAAGAGCUCGUAGGCGGUUUGUCGCGUCUGCUGUGAAACCCCGAGGCUCAACCUCGGGCCUGCAGUGGGUACGGGCAGACUAGAGUGCGGUAGGGGAGAUUGGAAUUCCUGGUGUAGCGGUGGAAUGCGCAGAUAUCAGGAGGAACACCGAUGGCGAAGGCAGAUCUCUGGGCCGUAACUGACGCUGAGGAGCGAAAGGGUGGGGAGCAAACAGGCUUAGAUACCCUGGUAGUCCACCCACGUAAACGUUGGGAACUAGUUGUGGGGGCCAUUCCACGGUCUCCGUGACGCAGCUAACGCAUUAAGUUC